CACGUAGGCACCAAGCGUUGUCCGGAUUUAUUGGGCGUAAAGAGCUCGUAGGCGGUUCAGUAAGUCGGGUGUGAAAACUUUGGGCUUAACCCAAAGCGUGCAUCUGAUACUGCUGUGACUUGAGUUCGGUAGGGGAGUGGGAAUUCCUAGUGUAGCGGUGAAAUGCGCAGAUAUUAGGAGGAACACCGGUGGCGAAGGCGCCACUCUGGGCCGAAACUGACGCUGAGGCGCGAAAGCCAGGGGAGCAAACGGG
rnacentral:rRNA from 1 species